ACACCUCAACUCCUCAUGGCUUGCCAUGAUGAGCUUGGACUUUGGGGGACUUGCUGGCCUGCAGUCAGCUCCUCUCAAAUGAAUCAGCUUACCAGUGUUUGGUGGCACCACAGGUGUGAUAAACAUCUACUCUUGUGGUCCUCCACCAUGUAACCUUCAGCAAUGGAGGUUCUCUGGAGCUCAUAAAUGUCUCUCCCCAGCGAGGACAACUUCUUGAAU
rnacentral:misc_RNA from 1 species